ACGCCCAUGCCAUGAUGAAUAUACCGGUUUUCAUUCGAUUAUCGAAGUCAAGCAUCAUCGGGCGCUGUCAGUACUUGGUUAGGGUGACCUGGUUCUGGGAACAUCGCAUGCCGU